rnacentral:rRNA from 1 species
UGGGGAAUCUUGGACAAUGGGCGCAAGCCUGAUCCAGCCAUGCCGCGUGAGUGAUGAAGGCCCUAGGGUCGUAAAGCUCUUUCGCCAGGGAUGAUAAUGACAGUACCUGGUAAAGAAACCCCGGCUAACUCCGUGCCAGCAGCCGCGGUAAUACGGAGGGGGUUAGCGUUGUUCGGAAUUACUGGGCGUAAAGCGCACGUAGGCGGAUCAGAAAGUUGGGGGUGAAAUCCCGGGGCUCAACCCCGGAACUGCCUCCAAAACUCCUGGUCUAGAGUUCGAGAGAGGUGAGUGGAAUUCCGAGUGUAGAGGUGAAAUUCGUAGAUAUUUGGAGGAACACCAGUGGCGAAGGCGGCUCACUGGCUCGAUACUGACGCUGAGGUGCGAAAGUGUGGGGAGCAAACAGGAUUAGAUACCCUGGUAGUCCACACCGUAAACGAUGAAUGCCAGUCGUCGGGUAGCAUGCUAUUCGGUGACACACCUAACGGAUUAAGCAUUCCGCCUGGGGAGUACGGUCGCAAGAUU